rnacentral:tRNA from 1 species
UCCCUGGUAAUCUAGUGGUUAGAAUUCAGCACUGGUACUGCUGUAGCCUGGGUUCUGUCCCUGGUGGGGGAA